rnacentral:rRNA from 1 species
UACAGAGGUCUCAAGCGUUGUUCGGAUUCAUUGGGCGUAAAGGGUGCGUAGGUGGCGCUGUAAGUCAGGUGUGAAAUUUCGGAGCUUAACUCCGAAACUGCAUUUGAUACUGCGGUGCUUGAGGACUGGAGAGGAGACUGGAAUUUACGGUGUAGCAGUGAAAUGCGUAGAGAUCGUAAGGAAGACCAGUGGCGAAGGCGGGUCUCUGGACAGUUCCUGACACUGAGGCACGGAAGGCCAGGGGAGCAAAACGGG